rnacentral:sRNA from 1 species
CAGGUAAGCUUAUUAACUUCUAUAAGGGCAGAUAAAAGCAUCGCUGUUCAUCCUCGUCGAAUUUUGGCCGUUUUGCAGGUGAGUGUAUAUUGUGAACUUUUGCUCAAUUCAAAGUAGUUAUUAAUUAGAUGAUUCUUUAUACUUUUCUCGUUUCAGGUAGGUUUAUUAGCGUCUCCAGGGACAGUUAAAAACAUCGCUGAUCAUCUUCGUUGGAUUUUUGGCCGCUUUGCAGGUAGGUUUAUUAGCGCAUCCAGGGACAGUUAAAAGCAUUGCUGAUCAUCUUCGUUGGAUUUUUAGCCGUUUUGCAGGUGAGUGUAUAUUGUGAACUUUUGCUCAAUUCAAAAUAGUUAUUAAUUAGAUGAUUCUUUUUACUUUUCUCGUUUCAGGUAGGUUUAUUAGCGUCUCCAGGGACAUUUAAAAGCAUUGCUGAUCAUCUUCGUUGGAUUAUUAGCCGCUUUGCAGGUAGGUUUAUUAGCGUCUCCAGGGACAGUUAAAAGCAUCGUUGAUCAUCUUCGUUGGAUUUUU